UACGUAGGUGGCGAGCGUUGUCCGGAUUUACUGGGCGUAAAGCGUCCGCAGGCGGUCGGCUAAGUUGGGUGUGAAAGGUUGCGGCUCAACCGCAAAGCGGCACCCAAUACUGGCCGGCUGGAGUCUCGGAGAGGAGAACGGAACAGCACCUGUAGCGGUGAAAUGCGUUGAGAUGUGCUGGAACACCAGUGGCGAAAGCGGUUCUCUGGACGAGCACUGACGCUGAGGGACGAAAGCCAGGGGAGCGAACGGG
rnacentral:rRNA from 1 species